UACAGGGGGGGGCAAGCGUUGUUCGGAAUUACUGGGCGUAAAGGGUCUGUAGGUGGCCAACUAAGUCAGACGUGAAAUCCCUCAGCUUAACUGGGGAACUGCGUCUGAUACUGGAUGGCUCGAGUGUGGGAGAGGAAUGCGGAAUUCCAGGUGUAGCGGUGAAAUGCGUAGAUAUCUGGAGGAACACCGGUGGCGAAGGCGGCAUUCUGGACCAUAACUGACACUGAGAGACGAAAGCCAGGGGAGCAAACAGG
rnacentral:rRNA from 1 species